rnacentral:rRNA from 1 species
GUUUGAUCCUGGCUCAGGAUGAACGCUAGCGGCAGGCCUAAUACAUGCAAGUCGAACGGGUGGUAGCAAUACCACUAGUGGCGCACGGGUGCGUAACGCGUAACCAACCUGCCCUUGACUGGGGGAUAGCCCGCCGAAAGGCGGAUUAAUACCGCAUAUACCAUUAGCCUGGCAUCAGGCGAUUGGGAAAGAUUUAUUGGUCAAGGAUGGGGUUGCGUAGCAUUAGCUAGAUGGCGGGGUAACGGCCCACCAUGGCGACGAUGCUUAGGGGACCUGAGAGGGUGAUCCCCCACACUGGCACUGAGAUACGGGCCAGACUCCUACGGGGCGCAGCAGA